UAUAGUUCAAUUUCUUAAAAAAAAAAUUGAAAAUUUUUUAUACAUAGAAAUACAU
rnacentral:tRNA from 1 species